rnacentral:lncRNA from 10 species
AGUAGAGAUAGGGUUUUACCAUGUUGGCCAGGCUGGUCUCAAACUCCCGACCUCAGGUGAUCCACCUGCCUCGGCCUCCCAAAGUGCUGGGAUUACAGGCGUGAGCCAAUUGUGCCCGGCCUAAGUUUCCUCUUUCUAAAAUGUGGCUUGUCUUUCUCAAUUUCAGAAACUUGCCCAAAGCAUGUAGCUCUAAGCAGUACCCUGUCAACUUCAAGAUAAUGGCCCACAAGACUACAUUACCCUCCAGCUUGUCUUUUCUUGAUAGCUGUUUGAGGACAGCAUUGAUUAGGCCUAUUAGAACAUGACUGAAGUGUUGCCCCAUUCUGGUUUCCUGUUAUGAAUCUGACAUUUCUGAAAAGUCACUGGUUACAGACUAGAUCAAGGAAGGAGACUACUCAAAUAAUUAACUGUGACACAGAAUAUCCAGAUAAACACCAUGUAAGAAUUUACAGAUUCUAUUUCCCUGUCCACACACAGGAGAGUCCUCAGCUCACUAUCUCAUUCACAGGUUAAUAAGAACAGGUGAUGACUCAGAAUUCGCUUCUAAUCUUAGUUUUCUGAGCCUUUAAGCACACAUACAUCAGAAAAAAACAGCGUCAGGAGGACUGAACAGAAAGCCAGAAGACAGAUUUCCAGUUCCGCCCAAACUGAUCCUCUAAUGCAGGUACACAGAAGCUGGGGGAAGUCAUUUCGGUGUGAAGAGAAAAGCACUCUAAAGUGCUACCCAAUGUUUACUAAGCAGAGGACAUGCCUACUACACAUUCUUCUGCUUUGCCCAGAAAUGCAAACUAAAAAGAACCCUUUGUAUAGGUAAUCAGACCCACAACCACAGUAUGAUACCCAGACCAAUUCUGAAAAGAACAAGCGUCCUUCAAGGGUCAAAUAAGCAUUAGUAGCUCCAUUCUAGCCAACCAAAGAAAGAUAAGGCUAACCAUUUUAAAGGUGUUUUUUUAACACUGAGCCAUUUCCAACAGAUUUGCCUGGCUGCUCUGGGGAGUCAGGCCUCCCUCAGCUCAGGUGAAGCCUCUACCCUUUCCCCUCUCUCUAAAUUCUUCUCACUUUUUACCGGGAAGAGCAGCACAUCUCAAUACAUGCAACUGUGCAGCAGCGCAUCACUCUGUCACACUGAAUCAAGGGGAGUGAACUCAAGGCAGUGAGUAGCUCAUGUGCACAAUGAAAGUUUUAAAAAUUAUUAGGCAGUCUAUCCUUAAUCCCAACUGCUGAUAAAAGGAGAUAUAUAUCAAAGUCUGUUUUCCUAACCUGCGGAGAAUUCAAGUGAGCUGUUUCCGCUCCAGGUCGAAGUCUGGUGACACUCAUCAACCCUCAGCAGAGAGCAUCCAGGGAAUUCAGGACCUUGGUUUUAUCGCUAAGGGUGUAGCCACUAGUGCUAUUAACAGCAGCACUCUGGGUCCUCACAGAGAGGGCCCCCCUCCUUUACCAGGAUCUCCCAACUCUGCAGAGAAAAGCUGGGAAUAGGGUCCAGGGCUAAGGCUAUUCCCCAGAUUUAAAGGAAGCUGUACACGAUUUUAAAGCCUCACCUUACCUCAGCUAACAGAGAGGCAGGGGGCGGAGGGCGGAGGACCCACCAACCCAGGGGAAUUGUAAGGAGACAAAGAUGACCCCAAACGCACAAGCGCGCGCGCACUGAAGCCCGGACUGCAAAGCACAUUCCAUCAACCUUUCACUGUAAUCGGCUUACUGUGGGGUUUAUCCCCUCACCCCAUCCCUCUCCAGAAAGUUUAAGGCUGUUCGCACCGACUUUGAAAGGUCCAUUGUUCCCUUCCCCGUAAACGUAAUGAAAAGAGAGAGUGGAGAGAAAGAAAUCAAGACACCGUUCCCGAGGACCCUUUCUUAAGAAGAGAGGACUGACUCCUGGGGAGUCGGGUCAGUCCCAAUCCAGAGAUGAAACCGGGAAAGGAGGCGCACGGGGGAAGGGCGGGAGGACGUUUUCCUUUUCGGCAGAAAUGCCCAACGCCGGAGCCGGCCAGGCCGCCGGGAGCAGAAAAGGUGGGCGAGACCCGGGUCUGCGUCCCCGCAGUGGCCCCCGAGGGCAGCAAACGAGGUGGAGCGGGGUGGGGGGGCGGGUGACCGAGUCGCUUCUUACCUUCCCCUACCCCGCUUAGCGUCCGUUAACUCAGGUGCCUACACAGCGGUCCAGGAAGCCACUCGAUUGCCGGCGCCCGCAGCUGCCGCUCGUACUCAACUGGCAGCCGCAGCCUCUGCCUGGAGGUGAAAUACU